rnacentral:rRNA from 1 species
GAUGAACGCUAGCGAUAGGCUUAACACAUGCAAGUCGAGGGGCAGCAUAGAAUCAGCUUGCUGAUUUUGAUGGCGACCGGCGGAUGGGUGAGUAACGCGUAUGCAAUCUACCUUCAAAAGGAGGAUAGCCCGAAGAAAUUCGGAUUAAUACUCCAUGACAUAGCGAGUUCGCAUGAACUUGCUCUUAAAGAUUUAUCGUUUGAAGAUGAGCAUGCGUUCCAUUAGCUAGUUGGUAAGGUCACGGCUUACCAAGGCAACGAUGGAUAGGGGGAACUGAGAGGUUUAUCCCCCACACUGGGACUGAGACACGGCCCAGACUCCUACGGGAGGCAGCAGUGAGGAAUAUUGGUCAAUGAGCGAGAGCUUGAACCAGCCAAGUCGCGUGAAGGAUGACUGCCCUAUGGGUUNUAAACUUCUUUUAAUAUGGGGAAUAAAGUUAGAUACGUGUGUCUAUUUGCAUGUACCAUAUGAAUAAGC